UACGGAGGGUGCGAGCGUUGUCCGGAAUCAUUGGGCGUAAAGGGUGCGUAGGCGGCGCGGUAAGUCGGGUGUGAAAUCUCGGGGCUUAACUCCGAAACUGCAUUCGAUACUGCCGUGCUUGAGGACUGGAGAGGAGACUGGAAUUUACGGUGUAGCGGUGAAAUGCGUAGAUAUUGUAAGGAAGACCAGUGGCGAAGGCGGGUCUCUGGACAGUUCCUGACGCUGAGGCACGAAGGCCAGGGGAGCAAACGGG
rnacentral:rRNA from 1 species